CUGCCUGCUGCCACCACGCUUUCACUAUGAUGAUAAUGGACUAAACCUCUGAACCAACCGUGGAGAUGUGCUCCCUGACAUCCUGCCUGUGAAGGGACUGUUAGUGAUUAUCUAGAAACUCGAAAGUCCCCAUAUGGCUUCCUGUUCACUACCAGAAUGAGCAGCUAUGUAUGAUUACUGGUCAGGAGAAAGGCUGAAUGCACAAAAAGAUGAUGACUAGACCACAUAGCACCAGAACAUGUCCUACAACUUGCAGCCUCCAGUCUGGGAAACCAUACUGUGACACUGUGUUUCAGCAGAGCAUCUACAGUGAAAGAUAGGAAGAGCAUCUCCCUCUGGUUUCCCCGCUGCUCAGCUCUUGGUGGCUCCUGGUGGCUCCUGGUGGCCCUUGGCUGUCUGCUGUGGGAUGGUCUGUAUGUCAAAUUUCUCUGAUUGGUCAAUAAAUAAAACACUGAUUGGCCAAUGGCCAGGCAGGAAGUAGGUGGGACAAGGAGAGAGGAGAAUUCUGGG